ensembl:lncRNA
GGAAUUGUGAUGUCAAAGUCACUAGGGUCCAACCCGAUUGUUCUGUUUCGACUAUACAGACUCUGUGGCAGGUUAACUGUUUUCCAUUUGAGGAGUUACACAUCUCACUUUACUGCAGAAAACCACCCUGCGUUUUAAUUCAGGUUUCCGAGAGAAAACUUUUUAAAAAAUGGUUUGGGGCAUUUGUUAUCUUUCUUUGGUGAAUUUAAAGCGUGCGCAAAUAUUACAUUUAUUGUUCUGUGCUUCUUUGUCUUUGAAAGGUUUUGUGUGUUACAAAUGAGUUGGAUUUCUUUCAAUUUACUGUUGUCUUAAUGUUGGAAAGGUAAAAUACCAUUGUUCCGUUUGCAGAGUUAAUAGAUCACAACUGUCUGUACGUGCCGGUAAACGUACCUCAAACAUAAUGUUUUUAUGUAUUCUGGUAUUUCUUUGAAAGAUCAGUUUGUGGUUCAAGUCACAUUUUUGUUGUGAGUUGGUUUAGAAUAAAAUUUAAGACCAAGAGGUGCCUCAGUUUUGGAAAUGAGAUAUUUACAGUGCGAGCUUCAGAGGGGGAUGGAGUGGAGCAGAUGCUUUCAGAAGGGGUAGAGAUGUUUUAACGUAGAUAUCCUUAAUAAGUAACUUAUGAUAGUAACAGAACUGUUUGUAAAUUGAAUGUUUUUCCUGAGCCAUUAGCAGCCAUGUUAAGCUGCUGUUUAUUAAUUAGUACAGUAUCCAGAAUUAACCCAGUUCUUUUAAUCUGUUUAUAAACAGCUUGGAGAACAUUACAAUUAUUAUAUGCAAUUUUGCCACCUGAAGACUAUUAUAAAGUAGCACCGUAUCAUUUGCUAAUUGCAGCAUAAGUGUACCACGCAUAAAGUCGCGUACCUUAACAACAACCGCAGAGUGAAAACCCAAUUUACUUACAUGCCAGGGUUUAGGACCCAGCCCUGCUCCUCUUGCUCAAAUUCCUGCUGAAGUCACUGGCUGAGGGUGGAUGGCAGAACUCAGACCCAGCUGCCUGCCACAUUAGGGUAGAUUUGUAACCAACAAUUCUCUAAUGGAGAGGGUUCAGAGCCUGGCCCAGUGCUGACUGUUGUUGGUAGGCAGGUAACCUUGUUGAAAUCAAACUAAUUUUAGUGACGAUUCCAGGUUUGGGGUGAUCAAGGGACAAAGGUCUCUUUUCAGAUGUAUCUUGUCAGCCUUUUGUACUUUGUUUUGGUACCAAGCCCUGCUCCUACUGCUCAGCCCCCUUUCUGUUUCACUGUAAACUGAAACACUUGUGUUUAGUUUGCAGUCGGGAGAGUCGAAUGCCAUGUCACUACCUUUACUGUGUAAUGUGGUUUUUUUUCUUCUGAUGCCUGCUUGGCAGUGCCCCCCGGCUUGUCCAACGUGCUCUUGUGUAACACUGCUACUAGCGGGCCGUGAGUCUUCCGUCUGUAAUACCUAGGUGUGCUGCACUGUGCCUUCCUUGAAAUCCCGGUGGAGUCAGUGGGUUUCACACAUGGCUGUAGCUGUCUCUCUCUUGCCUACUGAUGCCAAAUUAGAUGCUGUAAAACCAGUAGAGAUUUUCCAUUCGCCUCUUUGCAAAGUACCCUCCUGCGACUUCCCCCCUUCUCCCCACCUCCUAAGUUCAAGCGUUUUUCUAACUGGAAACCUGAAAAGUGUGCAAAAUCUGUGUAAGUUCCCAUAGCAUCGCCAAGGAUUUUAGCCAUUUUGAACUUUAUUUUUUUAAAUAAGCUGAAAGACAAAGAACACAAUUUUACACAUUUGCUUUCUCUUACGUAGCCUGGAAUCAUACACACUUUUUUUUUUGUUGUUGUUUCUUAAAGCACAAUGUCGGAACUUUUUUUUUCUUUUUUUCUCCUUUUUUUUUUAAGGGUUUGGUCAAGUGGUUUUUGUAAAAUGUAUUUGUCUGUAUAAAGAGAAGAUGAAUUAUAGUUAUUGUUAAUGUACUGACAUUAGUUACAGGUUAGUUUUAAUUCUUAAAUAAUUUGCUUAGCAAAUGCUAUAAAAUGGAUGUUUCAGUUUAAUGUUUAAAAAAGGUACAGAUUUUUACAAGGACAUAAUAUAAAUUAUUGUUCUGUAGAAAAUACCCUGUUAAAUAUUGUAUACGUCCUGCCCUCUGUACACUUUGUAAAAAAGACAAAAGGAAAAAACAAAAUACAUAGAAUCAUAUAGGGAUGUGUGACAUUAUUGUAAUUGUGUACUUGAUAAUAACGUGAAAAAAUAAAAUUCAAAAUAUUUUCCUUU